AAGAUUCCUGGAGGAACAGCAUCUAUUAUGGAUUUAUGAUGUUGAAAACCACAGAACAAAGACAACUGAGAAAAGAAGACCGAAGGAGCCUGGGAACUUCAUGACAUUCUUGAGCAGCGGUGCCAGCCCUGGAUGAUUUACCUCAGCUCUUCUUACUGGUAGCUGGUUUUUCUUCCCCAUCCUUUUCACCACUGGGCGUGCAGGUGAUGCCUCUCCAUAGAUGGUUUAGGAUGAAGAAACUGAACAGGGCCAUGAUCCUCACCUGUGAUUUCCUGGCUGCCACCCUGGUUUUGGGGUCUUUCCUCCUCUCUUCUUGGGUAGAAAUAGAACUGUCUGGUGAGCCGAAUGUUCUUGUCAGUGCACUUUUCACCAACUGUACCAGUAAGAAAAUGUGUUGGAUGCUCAAACACAAACCAAGUAAGACCUUGUUUAAAAAGGGAGGGCUACAUGUCAUUACCAACCUGCAGCCUCAGUGCUCACUGCCCCCUCUCCCUCAGGACCACUCCUUCUCGCUGACACCUACCAACAUUUACUAUGCUAUCUUUAGAACUGGAGCCUCUGAAAACGAGAGGGUGGGCCCUAAAAAAGAAGGACGUUGUCAUUCUCUCUCUGUCAUUCUUCCCUGAUUUAGCCUACUUCAUACUGGGUGGAAUUUUCAUAAUCAGCACCCUUCUCCUCUCGCUCUGCUUGAGCCUUUUGUUGGUGGCAUUCCCUCAGUUGUUCCCUAAGAGCCAGAAACAGUAUCUUUCCUGUGCUUUUGUCUUCAUUGUCACAGAUAAGGAAAGGCAGAAAUGAAUUUUGAAUGUCUUGGCAUUGGGGUUAGGGUGGAAUUUUAGUGAAAUUAGUUCCUAGAAAAUUUUCAGGAGGAUGCAUAGGAAAAGAACAAUCAAGGAGAAAAUGGUCUCAAAGGGAAAAGGAGAAUGAGGAGCAGUGAUAAUGAAAUAAUUUUGGUUCAUUGAUCAUGAUACUGGACUAAAACCCUUAAGUAUUGGGAUAGGCUAAUCAAAAGAUCCAUCACUUUUCCCUUUUUUGAGUUGACAGGUGUCCCUCUCCUUACUUAUGCACUAUAUGCAAAUUUUGGAAGUGAGUCGGGAACCUGAUCCACCAAAAGUCACCUAUAAGCUUCCUUAUGUCAUAAAUUUAUCCAGCUCUUCCUUAUUUCUGCUAUCUGGUGAGUGAUCAUGGGGUUCUGUGAGGUUGUAGAAGGUGAGCUAACCUCCUAGGAACCAGAUUAAGUUUAUUUCUUUGAUCUUCCUUUUCUUUUACUCUAACAUUCUCAAAUAUGUGGAAGUCAAUCAUCUAAACUUUUUUUCUUCUUUGGCUUUUGGGCAUAAGUGUCCCUUAUGCUCACCCAUGACUUUUUUCUAUUGUCCAGUGACUUAUUUUAAAAAAUAUUUUUAAAAUUAAUUUCCUCCUGGACUUCAGUUUUGCAAUACAAACUCUAAAACAGGAUUCAGAAGCCAUCUCUUGGCUUCAAAUAUAUCUUCAACUAGGGGUAGAAGUCAGAGUAUGGGAAAGAAUUAUUUGCUUUUCUUGACAACGGAAAAUAGAAGACACUGUGUAAGACCACUUACAUAAUCUCUGAGGCCCAGUGCAAAAUAAAAAUGUGGUGUCUCUUGUUCAAAAAUUGCUAACAAUUUCAAGAUGAUGAUAGCAGAACACAAAUCCAAGUAUGAGGCUCUUCUGAGUGCAGGAUCAU